CUUUCCCCUCACACACGAUCUAACUCUACAUUCCGCCAACGCCUGCCACAAUUAUUCGUUGGCACAAUCAAUAAACGCGAAAGCUUUUCUUGCGGGCGAAGUUGUUUUCUCUAAUCGUAAAAAAUCUCUGCCGCUCAGCCCUGCGUUGCCCCUCGUGAUCUUUACGCCUGUUUCUUAACCGUCUCGUCCGGGACGCCGCUUUCCCCACCAAGCGUUUUCACGAAAGUAAUCUUGGCUUGUUGGCAAUUUCGCCGCACCAAGACGGCCAACGGCUUUGAAAAGUUCAGACCCCACGCGCGCGGGCGUCUGCUUCAAUACGCCGGCUUUAAAGAAUCCCGCUGGCGGCCCUUUUUCCUGAUGCCGUUAUGCGUUUUUCUUCUUCGAGGGCCCUCAAAAACUUUUCCGCGCCCAUCGUUCUUUGCAGAAGGCCAAACUCCUUUUGCAGGGGCUUUUCGGGUUUCAUGAUAUUUGAAAGGGUUCUCUGGGCGUUUGGCGCCGUGGUGGUCCGGCUUUGUUGUUUUUGGCGGCCCGGGCCCGUCGCGCCGGCGCGCCCCGCGAAUCGCUUCGCGGCUGCGGGGGCUAUGCCGGUCGCCGCGCGUCGUCCUCGCGGUGGCGGGGCCCAAAGCCGGUGGGCGCCGAGGGCCGGGGGCGAGGGGCUGGCCCACGCGGACGCCCCGACCCCCGCAUGGGCGGGGCAAAGCGUUUUUGCCGCCGCAGGUCGCACAAGCGCGGCGCCAUGCAGGGCGGGGCCGCCAGCUUUUUUUCUAAACCACCGAGCCGGCCCCUUACGUCGUCAGCGCUUGGCGCCGUCUCGGCUUUUUUGCGGGUGGCUGGAAUAGAAAGGGGGAACGUUGGUUUGCUUUACCCAAGGCGCGGUGUCAGGGCCAGCGGUUCUACAGGCUGGUUGUUGUUUCCACCUUUUUUGUGGGGAUAGGCGUUAAAAAAAGCUGCGGGAGGCCAUGGAGCCAUCAGAUGUUCAAGAGGUUUUAGGGCUGCGUGUUCGUUAGGAGCGCUUUGGGGCGUAGGUUUUUGUGCUCAGCUCGAGUGUUGAUAGCUAUAUUUAGGGUUCCAGCUGCCUAGAGCCGCUGCGGUCUUUUAGACUUGCGAAGGUAGACGCUAGGAGGGAACUUGGGCUUUGUGCGUAUACCGUGCUUCGGCACAGCUGCGUGUGGCGUUUUGUUGGUGCAUUCCCCGUUUCUCUAUUGCGAACUUUUUCAUGACCGCGUGUCGGAAAAACUUGCCCUGGAGACUAGUUUGCUUCAUGGGUGGGUGUUUGCUCUCUUGUGUUGAAACCCUUCACGCUGAUUCGUGGGGUAAUUCAGGUUUGGGGUUUGUUAACUUUGAGGCUUGGGCCGUCUCCUUUUCGGUUUUACAUGGGACGGAGGGAUGUGUUUUCAAAGAGCUUAAUCACACCGAGGGCAGUUUUUGUGGUAUGAAGACUUAUCUUAUGGGCAGGACGCAUUCUCUUGAGGGUUUCGCCAGCUCAGUCCGCGAGGCGGUGGGUGGCCGGGGGGGGGCAUUUUUUCAAAAAAGUAGUGGUGGGCUAAAAGCCUUGUGUGUGGGGGGGCGUCGGGUAUGCGGAUCCCGGUCGCGCCGCAUUGUGCGAAGGAAGCGGAAUUUGUUAUUGGCGGCUUUCCAAGAAGCGUGAAGCAAACUGAAAAAAAAGAUUUUUUUCCGCCUUUCGUUUAGCGUCUUUUAACAGUUGUGGCGGUCUCGGCGUGGUAGUUGGCGAUUCGGUGGCCUUGUGAACUGUGAGUGUGCCGUGGACGUGCAAUUUGUUUGGUAGACACAGAGGCCAGCGCUGUGAGUAUUGGUACAGUGCGCCGUACUUGUCCGCUCGAAAAACCCUUUGGUUGGCAACGUCAGGGGCGAAUGACGCUCCCCUGCCACGCUCGUCAAUAUGCGAUGUUCUUAUGCCGCUGGCAUUGAGGCGUCUUGUGAUUGCCACUGCUGUGUUGUGGUGCUGCAGUGUUUGCCAUCGGAAAAAAGAAAAAGAUGAACAUGCAGAGCGCGCUGAUUUUUGCCUGCGCGCAAACCAUCAGCGCAAGCGCUACGGAAGAGAGAAAUGAAGCGCUGACCCUCGAGAAAUUGCAAUAAUCCGUUGAGUCUGAAAUCGGAAGUGCCUCGAGAGUUAUUUUCCUUCGUACUGCGGCUUCCACCUUCGAGCCGGAGUUUCACAUUCCCCACCGCAGGAGAAGCAUCUCUGGCUUUCAUUUCCAGCGCCUAGCCAGACUUUUUCCUGCGCUAUCACUCCACGUGAGUCUUAUUGUCUACGCAACUGAUCUUCGGUUUCUCGCGUUACAG
rnacentral:misc_RNA from 1 species